GUUGAGGUGGCGGAAGUAGGACCCAAUUGCAGACUGAGAACAAAAAAAUGCUUUAUUCAACCGGAUCAAAAUGCCUAGGGGCAAAACGUGGACCAGGAACACAAGCAACAAAACUCACCGACAACUCAAUGAACCAACAAGGGACACACAUGGUUUAAAUACACUUGGAAGGUGCAGGUGAUUGGACCUGUUGGUUUUUUAUGACAGUAUUGGUUGAUCUCCUCUGCCUUAAGAUUGCAAUAUUACUUUUAGCUGAAAAUGCAUCGCAUAACUGAUUUAUUUUGAAUUUAAAAUAACUGGAUAAUGUUUUUCUCUCUGCCUGAAAUGUGUCAUGCCCUGGAGGUGAAGCAUAUUUUCUUAAAUUAAAUAAGAUUACCUUUAUCUGUAUUUUAUGUUUUUUGGCUUUUACUGUCAAGCGUAGGAGGUUGCGAGGGGCAGUCAGGAAGUCCCCCUGUAGGCCUGACUGUCCCAUUUCAGAGACAGAUUGGUUCAGCCUAUGGUCUACCAGGUCCACCGCAAAGGCUGGGUCCUUCAAGAAUUGGUGUGGAAUAACUUCACUGUGUAGGAAGUGAAGUUUACCCGGGGAUACGAGCGGCAGAAAACUACAUAAUAAAACAGGCCAAACCUACACCGUGACACCUAUGGAGGUAGUUUGGUCAGAAGCAAAAAGUAUUGCGGCCAUUUCUAUUAAAUCCCUAAUAUGUAGAAUGUUGUGUUCUACAUUUUUUUUUACUUUAAAUGCUCCUUUAGAAAACGCUCCUACACAAAUAAUAUAGGCCACAGAGUGCAGCCCCAGUCUUCUACUAAACAAAGAGCUGACUCCUCUCAGGGGCGAGUGCUGAAAUGCUUUGCUCAUUGAAGCAGUCUUCUCUAGAUAUGAAUUAAUCAGAAAUACCUCAACUCACACAACAGAUUCUUUCAAAGCUGGCGGUUGAAAAUAAGUUAACCAGGCAGCUUCAUAUUAAUGCCUGUCUCCAAAUAACUAUUUAAGUAAAUUAUAACUAAUUCUGACACAAAUGGUUUUCAUAACUUUAAUAUGAAAUUACCUAAAAUACUAUUUUGUUUUGGCAGCAGAUGUAAAAAAGCUAAACUAUGUUUUCUGACUUGCUUUUGUUACAUGAGUAAUGACUCAUUGACAGGAUGUACAUAAGAUGGUCUGCAUUAGAACAGUACAAACAAUAACUCUUCAUUACAUAUACAAACUGUUUACGUUGCAUACUGAUUUAUGAUCCCCAAAAUAUUUUCACAAAAUCCCUCCUAUCAAGACCUACAUCAAACAGGUCAUACGAUUAACUUCUCAAUGCUUCCUGAUAAACAAAAUACUGAAUGCAAUGCGAAUUACCCAAUGAACGUGUCUGGCAUUACUGCAUUGCUACUUUCUACUGCAUUAUAUUGUGCAGAGUAGCAGGACAUAUUCAGUGUACAGCAUGCAAGAUUACUAUCGGUGCCAACUCAAGUGAUAAAUUAAUAUUUACUGUCGCAAUAAUAAAGGUUAGUUUGAAAUUAAUCCUUAUCAUCAGGAUGGCCUGACCACUAAGAAGACUGACAAAAUAUCGAAGCCAUUAGAAACCUUUAAAGACAAACAUGAAUGGGUGAUGCUGUUAAUGUAAAAUAGGUGGGUGGCUUUUAUAUCACCUCGUAAGCUUAACAUGUAUUAACUCAUUUUCGAAAGCAAGCAACACGCUGUUGACUGGUAAAAUUGAAAUUCUAUCUGCUCGGACUGAAAUGCUAGGUGCACACUCUCACUUAGUGAUCACAUCAGGCCAUGGCUAGCUGUGUUUUACAUUAUCUAUGCAGCAUGGGUUUCCUUUUCAGGCUCCAAUUACUCCACGUGCCAUGUGUGCCGAGCCACAUUUUACUUCAUUACUAAUGGAGGUGUUUCAGAGUGUCUGACAGUAAAUACUGCACACGAUGAAAGCGUAAUUGCCGAAGCUCCCGCAAUGUGGUGUUGUGACAACAUCAGCUCUGAUGCUGGAUGAGAGGAAUCACUUGUGUGUUCAAAAUGCCAUUCAAACUUGGUCAAUCAAUCGUAGCAGCCAUUUAAAUCUUAAUGACAACCGUUACAUUGUUGGUGGACAAGUGGCGCUGUGUCGAACUGUUUAUUCUCCAGGUGUUUAAUUGCUGACAAGGACAAGCACCUUCCAGCAAAGCAACAACAGAGCAAGAGACAUUGAAAGCUAUUCUUUCAGCUGAGGAAUCAGUCAAUUAAAAACAAUCCAUCUGGCAGUGAGAUAUACAGUAUGUCUUGCAUGGAAACCAUGCACAUAAAGAUCAUUUUCAUACGUCACAUCAGGGGUGUGAGUACAGUUUUAUUCUGAUGAAAAGCAGAAAGGCGGCUGCUCCUUGAGAAUUACACAGCCAUACAGUGUGUCUGAGCCAAUUGAUUUGGGAAGUCCCAACAACACAACAAAAGCUCACAUUAAAGGUAAUUUCAUAAUGGAAGCAACCCAGCCUUACUUUCGGGCAGUGAUUUGUGACGAGUGUCCGCACCUUUGACUGUAAGCCGCAGUUGUCUUUCAGAAGGGAUGAUGGCUGAACAAGAGAAAUGCUUUAUCCUCACCCUCUAAAAAGACAGAUAUAUUUAUCUUUCGUACCAUUAACUACCUCUAUACACCCCCACUCUCCCCUCACUUAACAUCGUACACCCUCUUACUGACCACUUUUUGUAACACCUCUUUCAGGUCAAUUCUUUGUAUCUCCUACCUUUUCUCACCUUCCUCUUGACUUCUUGUAAAAAAUGUCCACUCAGUCUGUUCCCACGAUUGUCUCAUCUUCACGUCUUGGGUCUGUCCGACUUAUUUUUUACUUAUUUUUCCUGUACUUCAUUACGUCUAUACUUUUGGUCAACCGUAUAACUGUGACUUAGUCUGUAAUUGUCAGACUGGAGAUACCAUUACAUGUUGUUUUUAUCCAAAGCGACUUAUAAGUAUACAAUAAGUGCAUUCAACCAUAGGGAUACAAACUCAGAAGAACAAGAAACAAGUGCAAUUUCCUCAAAUAAGCCAAUUUACAAUACCAUGUGGAAGCUGAACAUCAGCUCCAUCAUUAAGAAGGCUCAGCAGAGGCUGUUCUUCCUGAAGCAGCUGAAGAAAUUCAACCUGAAAAAAAAAUGAUGGUACACUGGUACACACUCCUGCAGCAUCAGCAUCAGCAUCAUCCUCAUCGUCUGGUACGCUGCAGCCACAGCCAAGGACAAGGGCAGGCUGCAGCGUGUCAUCCGCUCUGCAGAGAGGGUGAUUGGCUCCAAUCUGCUGUCUCUCCAGGACUUGUUUGCUUCCAGGACUCUGAAGCGAGCAAGAAGGAUUGCAGCAGACCCCUCUCACCCUGGAAAAAAACUGUUGGUGUCACGGUGUGGGUUUCUGUUUUGUUUUAUUUUGUACCGAUCCUGCCUCUGCCUCCUCCUUCCCUGGUUUAGCUCCACACCCUGACCUGCCCUGCGAUGGUCUGCGUGUCCCUGAUUGUUUCCACCUGUGUCCAUUCACCUGUACCUUCCCAAUGUAUUUAAGCCCUGUGUGUCUCCUGUCCCUUGUCGCGUCAUUGAAUGUCGUCACCUUGUUCGUGAGUUCCAGAGCCCUGUCGGUGGUUUAUUAAAAGUACUUUUUGUUUGCAAUUCUGCACUUGAGUCCUGCUUCGGACUACCCCACCCUGCGUUGUGACAGUUGGUGUGCCUUCCAUCUGGCAGGAGGCUGAGGUCCAUCAGGAUGAAGUCCUUACGCCAAUCAGAGCACACUGACACGGCCACCCAUGUACUAUAUGUAGAGAGAGUAAUUGUCAACGGUGUAUCAGCUUCAAUGCUUCCAGCCUCUUUAUUAAUGAAGGAGGGGUGUUUGGAACCUGAUUACUUGUGUUUAAUCCCCCUUAUGGCACAGAAAACACAACAACUUGCCUUGUUUUGCAUAGGAUGGAAGGAAAUAGAUAUAGCAGUGCUUUCUCCGGGACAUGAUUACAACAAUCAGCCUAUGCAAUAGGAAGCAACACACACAACGGCAACCCUGUGCUCACAACAGACACAACAAUGGGUUAACUUUGUCUUUGUAAGAAAAUACUGUCGAGGGAAGAGAGGAGAAAGGGAAGAAGGGGCAGGAAGAACGUUCAAUGGAUUCGUUGUAGCAUUUGAAAGGGACACACAGGGAACACACACAGCAGCAGGGCUUUGGAGUGCUCACAUGCCUUGAUUAGGAAGAGAGAGUUUAACAUCCCCUGAUGCACAUGUUGCUAUGAUACUCGCACCACGCAGGAGAUGCCUGGGCAAAGAGUGCGUAGAUGUGCUUAUACAUUUCUGCAAUUUUUCAGGUUGUGCCCGAGUAUAUGUGCGCGUGCCCAACUCAUGUGGGUGGAAUGUUGCACGUCAACGAGUGUGAUGUGUACGUUCAUGGGCCAGACUGCGGGCACAAUUGGAUUGACAGAGUCAACUGGUGUGUUCCUAAAGAGCUCCCCUGAUGCCCUCUCCUCCCUCCUGCACCUCUGCCUUGCUUAUGUUUUUCCUAUUCCCUCCCACCUCCUUCUGUUGUGAUCCUGAUCAGGAGAGAAGGUCCUUCUAAGGAGCUUCAGUAUGUGGUCGCAGGGAAACUUCCUCCUGUGGAAACAGAAAUGAGAAAGGCAUGAGACUUCAACUUACAGAUUUCCAAUGUUUGUUGAGAUAUUAUUUACAUGUAAUAUACCAAGCUACAUCAAGGGAAAACUCUGGUUCAUCACAAGUCGGAUAACAUUUUUUUUUAACCACUCAUAUCCCGGUUAGGGCGGGGCUACCAUCUGAUUGACAGAUCGGUACCAUGGAAUGCUUGAGUCAAUUAUCUUUGACUUUUUAACUUCCUCCACCUAUUAAAUGUUUUAAACUGUGCAAAACUAUUCAACAGCACACAGGUGACCAAUUAAUGCCUAAGUGGGUGUGAAUGUCUGACUGAUUUUGAAAAAUAUAUAAAUUGUCCAACACUUAAGCUUUUGAAAACUAGCAUUCUUGCCUCAACAACCGUAUUUGAUCGACUUUCCCUUCUUGUAGUUUGAGGUGAGAAUGCUUUCAGUUUGAUUAGGUAUACAAACAACAAAACCAACUGGAAAUCUGUUUGAGUGGAUUGUUCACGGUGCUAUGAGUUAUAAAAUGCUGUGAUAUCCGUAUGUGGCAAAUAUAUGGAUCCAAACGCUGAACAAAAACACAUUUACCCGAUUUAGCUGCUGAUCAUCACCAUGCGUCCCCCGUCCCAUGAAAACUAGUUAGACGAGUGCAGUCCCAGUGUAAAUGUCUUGCUUACACGCUGCUGUACCCACUUCAUGAUUAAAGGAAACAAGGGUGUAUUUGUGCGGCCUGCUGUGUGAGUUUGUGUGCGGGUAUGUGAACAAAGAUGUAUUUUUCUCUGUACCACCAAAAUAGCUGUGCAUUAUCCUAGUUGUAUCUCCAGGGAGUAGGGUAAGCAUGUUGAGAGGCACUUGUGCGUUACGAUAAAUUGCAUGAUAUGUUUGGGUGGUGAUUUAAAAAAUACUGUUGAAUGUGCGUGAACUAAACUCGCAUUUCCUUCACUGAAACGUGUAAGCUUCCUUUACGAGGCCCUUGUUACUCUCUGUCCCACCAUGCUGAUAAGGACACUGUCACAUUGGAGGUGGAGCUGUGGGAGGCCUGUUAGCCACUCAGCAUGGGUUUGAUGUUCAAGGCCCAUAAAGAUGGUUUAUUGAGACUGAAAAUGAAAUUCCUUCACUCUUGCAGGUGUAUCAGGGCCUGCCAGUUCCUUCCAAUUGAGUGUCAGGUUUCUCUCAGCGCUUGUUUGCUUCGUAGGAUUUUAGUUUGACACUAUUCCCUGCAUCUCUUUCGCUCUCUUACUGUGAUAACCUUUUCCCAUUUAGUCUUGUCCUGAUCCCUGACUUGUUCAUUUUUGGAGGGUCUGCCAAAUAGUCUCAAGCUCUAACACCAAACCCUCAAAAUCUGUCUGCACAGCCCCCCUCAUGUGUUACUAAGAGUGGGGGAGCUCUACCACAGCGUGCUUUGUCAUUUACAACAGUGACUCUCUCACAAGUUCCAAUGGAAACAAACAGCUGAGACAUGGAUACACCUCUCCAGCAAAUCAAAAUAAGUACAAGGAUUGUAUGCACCAUCUUGUGCGUAGGUCCAAGAUGGCGCCGAUGAUGGCUGCCACGGCGCUUCGGUGCGCUUCGUUUUUUGUUGUUUUUGUGCUGCUAUCUUUCGUGGAAUUACUGGACAUUAUAGUCAAAGGUGCGCUCACCUUUUGUCACCCGGUGAGACGUAUGAGAGGAAAACGGGCCGGCUCGGUGGUGCCCUCUCACCCCAGACAAAAACUGUUUGUGCCCCUUCCAUCUGGCAGGAGGCUGAGAUCCAUCAAGACUAAGACCUCCCGCCACACAAACAGUUUCUUCCCAUCGGCAGUCGGGCUCAUCAACAGAGCCGGUCCCCC
ensembl:lncRNA